rnacentral:rRNA from 1 species
CCUACGGGCGACAGCAGUGAGGAAUAUUGGUCAAUGGGCGCGAGCCUGAACCAGCCAAGUAGCGUGAAGGAUGACUGCCCUACGGGUUGUAAACUUCUUUUAUAAGGGAAUAAACUGAGGCACGUGUGCCUUUUUGUAUGUACCUUAUGAAUAAGGAUCGGCUAACUCCGUGCCAGCAGCCGCGGUAAUACGGAGGAUCCGAGCGUUAUCCGGAUUUAUUGGGUUUAAAGGGAGCGUAGAUGGGUUGUUAAGUCAGUUGUGAAAGUUUGCGGCUCAACCGUAAAACUGCAGUUGAAACUGGCAGUCUUGAGUACAGUUGAGGUAGGCGGAAUUCGUGGUGUAGCGGUGAAAUGCUUAGAUAUCACGAAGAACUCCGAUUGCGAAGGCAGCUUACCAAAGUGCCACUGACGUUGAUGCUCGAAAGUGUGGGUAUCAAACAGGAUUAGAUACCCUGGUAGUC